UCCUACCACAACCAUAUAUACAUUCUUAUUAGACUAUGAACCAUACAUUUACUUUUUACUGCUUAUGAGCAUUGAGUGUGGUCAAGCUGUGUAGACCCUUAGGAGCUUGUCAUGCCGUUAAAAUCAAGAUUCACUUGCACGUUCACUCAUACAUGUUGUUUCUACUCCGGAAGUACGCAUCCACAUACAUCCACUCAUUUCCAUCUCCAAAUGCACCCAAAAUUAUUCUACUCAUAUCCAGGAGAAAAUAGCCAAAAACAUUAUCCCAUUCCUGUUUUUUCCUAUGAAAUAAAUGCAAGGAGGGUGAAAUAAAUGCAAGGAGGGUGAAAUAAAACAUUUUGGUUACUACCACUUGCUACAUUAUUCUAGGAGGGUGAGUGCUCUGAAAAAAAAUACAAGGAAAUAAAAAGGGGCAAGUGACCGGAAACUCGAAGAAAAGGAAAAGUGAGAUGAGAGGUAAAAAUGGACGAGUGUCCGACAGUAGAAUUAGGGGUACAAGAUACCCACCUGAGAGAAAAGAAAAAGAAAAUAUAGAGCAUCUCAUUCCCCUCAAAAGUCUCAAGUGCAAGGAAGGUAUGUACCCCCUCAAAAGAGCAAAAGUAGAAUUAAACUUUCACCAUUGUUAUCACCAUCAUCACCAUUAUCACCAUUCGUUCGCCACACAUGCACAUCUUGAUUUGACUUAUUGACUUGUUCUUCUGGAUCCAUGGUUUGACUAUGCAAUAAAUGUCUUGUAAGUAUGGAUGCUUUAUCUCCCACCUAUGAGCUCCAGAUAUCAAAACCUUAUUAGAGUAGGGUGAGAGAGAAGACAUAUACCAUCACUGCCUUGGUAAGGAUCCAGAAAUACCACAAAAGAGAGAUCUGAGAGAGUCAUACAAAGGAAUCUUUGAGAUUUAUUUGAAAAUCUAUAAAAACUCCAGAGCUAUAGCUGAUCAAGAAUAAGAGACAUGACGCUCGACUAGACCGUUCUAUCUUCUAACUAAUCAAGACACAAGUGACGGUUACAAGCCCCAUGGUGGAAGGUAAUAUGAGUAAGUUUAAAUCUUAACAGUUUACCCUAACCCA
rnacentral:lncRNA from 1 species